rnacentral:rRNA from 1 species
GUUCCGGGGAUGUAACAUCUUUGACCUAUUCUCAAACUUUAAAUGGGUAAGAACAUACAGCUACUUUAGUGAGCUGUUUUGUUGAAUGGAAGGUUGUUAGUGGGCCAUACCGGGUAAGCUGGUCUGGCGAUGCGGGAUGAUCCGAACGUUAUGUUAAAGCGCCAAAUUCUUCUCUCACCUAGAACCCACAAAAGGUGUUGGUCCAUAAGGACAGCAGGACGGUGGCCAUGGAAGUCGGAAUCCGC